GCAGCGGGCACUAUGAGCGGGGGCGUCUACGGCGGAGAUGAGGUGGGGGCGCUGGUCUUUGACAUUGGCUCCUUCUCAGUCCGCGCUGGGUACGCUGGGGAGGACUGUCCCAAGGUGAGCCUUCCAGUCUCCUCUCCAAAUCCUAGGGGCUUCGGACCCUUCUUCAGGCUUUCCAGUGACCCAGGGCUCUCCCAGAUCGCCCAGAAGCUCUGCUGAGCGGGAAUAUGGGAAUAAACCCAGGGGCGGUCUGAGGACCCUGCUGUGGGGCUGGACAGGGGCAAGAGGGUGACCUCUCUCCCUGCCGAUACUCCCCCAACCCUUCCCCACCAGGCUGACUUCCCCACCACGGUGGGGCUGCUGGCCGCGGAGGAGGGGGGCGGGCUGGAGCUGGAGGGGGACAAAGAGAAGAAAGGGAAGAUCUUCCACAUCGACACCAAUGCCCUGCACGUGCCUCGGGAUGGAGCGGAGGUCAUGUCGCCCCUCAAGAAUGGCAUGAUCGAGGACUGGGAGUGCUUCCGAGCCAUCCUGGAUCACACCUACAGCAAACACGUCAAGUCUGAGCCAAACCUGCACCCAGUGCUCAUGUCCGAGGCUCCGUGGAACACACGGGCCAAGCGGGAGAAGCUGACAGAGCUGAUGUUCGAGCAGUACAACAUUCCUGCCUUCUUCUUAUGCAAGACGGCUGUGCUCACCGCCUUUGCAAACGGGCGGUCCACUGGCCUCGUGCUGGACAGUGGAGCCACCCACACCACGGCCAUUCCAGUACAUGACGGCUACGUCCUGCAGCAAG
rnacentral:sRNA from 1 species